rnacentral:misc_RNA from 1 species
GUUUAGAGGGAAAAAGAGAGGGAGGGAGGGAGAGGGGAGGAGAAAAGAGAAAGUAUAAUACUAAUGAUUGGAUAACUAAAUGUAAACUUGAACUUUAACAUUUUACAGGUUAAAAGUUUAGAGAGAGAAAGUGAGUGAGAGAGGUUUCAUAAUCCCUAAAAGCUUCACUUUUCAACUCAUCAAAUUAAAUGGUUGGAAAUAUUUUGAUACCUUAUUUUUUGUUUUUCAUUUUCCAUUUUCU